rnacentral:misc_RNA from 1 species
UCACGUUUUCUAAACGUUUCCCUAUCAACCAAACGCGAACUCUCGGUGGUUUUCACUAUUCAUUUAGUGAAUUCGUGACCAUUUCUCUUGAUUACUCUUCAUUGAGGAAAGAGAGAAAGAACACCUUUUGAUUAACCAUCAAAAACAAACCUUUGAAUAAUUAAACUGAACUAUUAUUCCCUAACGCUUUCAUUAGUGUUAUUGAAUAAAACAAUACGAAAAAACUUAGAA